GACGAACGCUGGCGGCGUGCUUAACACAUGCAAGUCGAACGGAAAGGCCCUGCUUUUGUGGGGUGCUCGAGUGGCGAACGGGUGAGUAACACGUGAGUAACCUGCCCUUGACUUUGGGAUAACUUCAGGAAACUGGGGCUAAUACCGGAUAGGAGCUCCUGCUGCAUGGUGGGGGUUGGAAAGUUUCGGCGGUUGGGGAUGGACUCGCGGCUUAUCAGCUUGUUGGUGGGGUAGUGGCUUACCAAGGCUUUGACGGGUAGCCGGCCUGAGAGGGUGACCGGCCACAUUGGGACUGCGCUACGGCCCAGACUCCUACGGAAGGCAGCAGUGGGGAAUAUUGCACAAUGGGCGGAAGCCUGAUGCAGCAACGCCGCGUGCGGGAUCACGGCCUUCGGGUUGUAGACCGAUUUCGCCUGGGACGAAGCGUGCGUGACGGUAAUGGGUAAAGAAGCACCGGCUAACUACGUG
rnacentral:rRNA from 1 species